rnacentral:misc_RNA from 1 species
UUUCCGUAGGUGAACCUGCGGAAGGAUCAUUAAAGUGUUUGGGCCUCACGGCUCUUCAUUCCGACGCUGUGCGCCUUCGGGCUGCACGCUGAGGGAGCAUAUAUCCACCCCUGUGCACUCGCACGGUGGCGAGCUGGGUAACGGCUCGCCGCUGAUCUUUACACACGUCUAAAAGUCAUUGUAUGUUUAUUUGAGAUAAAAACGCAACUUUCAGCAACGGAUCUCUUGGCUCUC